rnacentral:tRNA from 1 species
GCAAAUGGUUAAUGUGCUCAGCUACUAACUGAGAGGCUGGUGGUUCAAGUCCACC